CCUACGGGUGGCUGCAGUGAGGAAUAUUGGUCAAUGGGCGUGAGCCUGAACCAGCCAAGUAGCGUGAAGGAUGACUGCCCUACGGGUUGUAAACCUCUUUUAUAAAGGAAUAAAGUGAGGCACGUGUGCCCUGUUGUAUGUACUUUAUGAAUAAGGAUCGGCUAAAUCCGGGCCAGCAGCCGCGGUUAUACGGAGGAUCCGAGCGUUAUCCGGAUUUAUUGGGUUUUAAGGGUGCGUAGGCGGCCUUUUAAGUCAGCGGUGAAAGUCUGUGGCUCAACCCUAGAAGUGCCGUUGAAACUGGGAGGCUUGAGUAUGUUUGAGGCAGGCGGAAUGCGUGGUGUAGCGGUGAAAUGCUUAGAUAUCACGCAGAACCCCGAUUGCGAAGGCAGCCUGCCGGGCCCUGACUGACGCUGAUGCACGAAAGCGUGGGGAUCAAACAGGAUUAGAUACCCGAGUAGUC
rnacentral:rRNA from 1 species